UGCAGGAAGAAGGCCUUCGGGUUGUAAACUGCUUUUGUACGGAACGAAACGGCUCUGGUUAAUACCCGGGGCUAACGACGGUACCGUAAGAAUAAGCACCGGCUAACUACGUGCCAGCAGCCGCGGUAAUACGUAGGGUGCAAGCGUUAAUCGGAAUUACUGGGCGUAAAGCGUGCGCAGGCGGUUUUGUAAGACAGGCGUGAAAUCCCCGGGCUCAACCUGGGAAUGACGCUUGUGACUGCAAAGCUGGAGUGCGGCAGAGGGGGAUGGAAUUCCGCGUGUAGCAGUGAAAUGCGUAGAUAUGCGGAGGAACACCGAUGGCGAAGGCAAUCCCCUGGGCCUGCACUGACGCUCAUGCACGAAAGCGUGGGGAGCAAACAGGAUUAGAUACCCUGGUAGUCCACGCCCUAAACGA
rnacentral:rRNA from 1 species